rnacentral:tRNA from 1 species
GAGGGUAUAGCUCAAGUGGUAGAGUGCAUGCUUAGCAGGCACGAGGUCCUGGGUUCGACCCCCAGUGUCUCCC